rnacentral:rRNA from 1 species
UACGUAGGUGGCAAGCGUUGUCCGGAUUUACUGGGCGUAAAGGAUGCGUAGGCGGACAUUUAAGUCAGAUGUGAAAUACCCGAGCUUAACUUGGGUGCUGCAUUUGAAACUGGGUGUCUAGAGUGCAGGAGAGGUAAGUGGAAUUCCUAGUGUAGCGGUGAAAUGCGUAGAGAUUAGGAAGAACACCGUGGCGAAGGCGACUUACUGAACCGUAACUGACGCUGAGGCACGAAAGCGUGGGUAGCAAACAGG